UAACCAUCAAACUUACUUUAUCUCAGAUCAUUAAUUAGUUAAUAGCAAACUUGUUUCAAUUUCAUAGUAGACUUAUGUGUAAAUGUUCUCUGAAAGGUUUGAGAUGUUCCGUAACGAACAGUCGUUGCAUGGUCCUGCUCAUACCAGAAGGGCGCGGAGAAAUGUGACAUGUACAUUUAAAAUAACUCUUCUCCAAACUGGUGUCGAUCAGUUAAAGCCCAUCUUUCAAGUUAAUUUUAUAAUUUAAUUUAUACACAAUAUUGUAUGAAAAUGUCAAUUUAAAAAUAUAUACACAAGAAUACAUAUGUUUUACAACACCCACGGGCAGAAAUUAUGAAAAAAGUGUGCCUAUUCUAAGCUACGCUUAAAAAAACGCCCUUUCCCAGAGAACGCGUCAUAUGACGUAACGACAGGCAAACACAGGCGCUCCCGCCAUCGUCUCAGUGUGGGUUAUGUAGUCUGAGAGGCGAAGACAGAGAAUAGAGAUUGUCGUUAUUUUGAGUUGUCACAAUGGUGAAUUCUUGUGUUUGUUUUGGAUGCAACAACUCCAACUUGUCUGGCCAUCGGGUCCACUGAUUUCCAAACAAGAAACACAAAGAUUUCCGUGCGUGGAUACGUUUCGUCCAGGCAAAGAGAAGCAAUUUUGCUGCCUCCUUUGUGACAAGACACACGGUGCUAUGUGAAAAGCACUUCACACCGGACAGCUACAACCAAGGAGAUCUUAUGGAAUUUCGCAUGGGAUUUCGACAAAAAGAGUGGGUUAGGCUGGCAAAUGGAGCUGUGCCAUUGGUGCAUGCAAGUCCACCUGCAAAAUCUGGCAGGAGCAGAGAAUCUGCUCCUCGAAAACGGGAGCUUUGCACAGUAAGUCAAAUGUAUUUUUCUUGACGUUAUAAUGGAUUAGUCUUUGCAUGACUUUGAGAAUUUAAUGUUAGCACCAUUAAGGCACCAAAGCCCGCCUCAGCUUACUCUUGUUAAACCCUGUGAGGCUGCAAAUGAGCCUCGUUUGACACUUCUUUUAUUGAGCUAGUAAGACAAGUUUCCAGACUGCGACCUUUUUACGUGAAUGUGGGAGUUAAAAUUGUAUGUGGUCGCAUUCACAUAUUACUACUCGGCCAAAUCCACACAUUUAACUUGUUUUAGCGCCCGCCAGAUUAUUUUUUUUGUCCCGCCAAAGUCUUAUUUGAUCAAUGAGUAAUAGGCCGUAAGGUGAAGACCCUUUUCGUUUCAUCCCGUUCCCAUAUAUAGGGCACUAAAUUCUUUUCAUUCCAAUAAAAAGAGCUAUUGGUUUUGAGCGAGAAAAGUUCUCCAUGUAUAAUCCUGCAGUUUAUUUUUUAUUAGUGUUUAAAGUCUGCAAUAGUUCCUUCGUCGCGUAAUCCUAUUUUGAUCAUGAGUGAUUUGGCUUCGCGUCACGUGUAGGAAGCACGACCAAUCAGGUAGCCGCUUUUUGGAAGGAUGAGUCCAAGAUGUCUGCGCCCUUGUUGUCAACAUCCGAGUAGCGAAGAAGAGGAAAUUACGGUCAGACCUCAUUCUAAACUCCGUAAAAAGGAUUAUAAACAAUGCUAUAUGCAUCUCGCGUCCAUAAAGAAAGAAGAAACGAAGGAUUUUACACGUACAUGAUGGGAUGCAUACAGAAAUAGCGUCAAACGGUGGCUUGGUUUGCACGGUGAGAAUCAGAGAAUAGCAGAAACAUUGUCUAGAAAUUGAUUUUGAAAAUGUUCCCGAAGACGCUGGGUUUCACUCCACUUGCUACAGGCGUUUCAUUGACAAAAAGUAUAAUCUGUAUCAUCAUCUGUAUCAUCGAGUAGUAGUACCUCAACAAAUGAAUGUCUUAAAAAAAAACUUAGGUCCAUGACGGGACUGCCAGUAGCUUGUGCAGGUCCUGUGCUUCCUGCCUUGUGCAUAAUUUGUAAGAAAACGGACAAGUACAUUACUGUGGCAGGUGUCACGGAGUGACUAGACGGGGCGGAACCAAAAUGAGAGCGAAGAGGUUCCUCCCGGACUGGUUUGUACAAACACCGGCACUUCCGGGUUUCCCGGGAAUCCCCGCAAUCACGGAAAUAAGGCAGAGCUGCGUAAACGACGCGUCGAGCGAUGAUUGGGCGAGUCAUGCCGUGGAGGAGGAUAUAAAGAGGGCAACCAGAAGUUACUUUUAGUGUUCGGUUGCGUUGGACAGAUGCCGUGAGUGUAUGCUUGGUUGAGUCUUCUAAAUGCUGGAGUACAACAUUAGUAGACCGUUCUGGGAUCUGUGGAAAGAGAGAGAACAGUCCGAAGUCAAGUAAGGGUGAGCACUGGAUUUGAAUGAACACAUUGACAACUCUGUUACUGUUGUGUCUGCACGAAGGUUUGGGCGAGUCGUAUUAAAGGAAUUGUUUACAUCAGAGUAUGCCCUGGAGAAGGAGGAAAUAGGAAGAGAGAAACCGAUUAGAGACUUCCCAGCCAUGAGUAACAGUAAAUCAUUGGUGUAUGUUGAACACUUACAUUGUUAAAGGAGAGUGUAACCUGUUUAUGAGCGGCCCCACCAGGUGUGUGUGAUAGGUGGGUGAGCCGAAAGACGUGCUUGUGCUGACGCUGGACAGCGAGGGUUUCGAACCCGGUUGGGUCACCACUCGGCGUGGCAAAUUAAAUCGCACUCCCUUACCCAGGCAUAGUCCCGACAGGAGAGGAGUACGGACCCUAAACUAUUCACUGGAGUGUGUGCUGUGCAACGUGUGAGUGAUCUGUCUGACGUGAGUACACCAAAGCUUUUGUAGUGUUGUGCCGUGUCCUUGUCAUUUGUACUCACCCCCGGAGGGAUUAGACCUUUGGAGAGAUCAUCGGGAGCCGCCACGACGGUGUACGCCCAGCCAAAUCAAUUACGCCCGGUAACUGUGUCCAGCAGGAGUCUGACGGAGCUACCAAGUGAGGUACUGUGAAGUAUACCAUAGUUUUACCUGACCACCUAGCAGCAGAGGAGGUGCCAAGGGAGAUAGGGGAUCUGGGUGCCUGUAUGUACGCUGUGUGUGUGACAUGUGCAUGAUAACUACUGCCUUCUCGUCUAGAUCUUCGCCUGCCCUAGGGAAGAGGACGUGUGGUCACUGUCAGCCUGAAAUACUACCCAACGGGGCGCCUGUAAAGAGGAAGAUACGUCAUCUCGAGCUAAAGCUAACUUACCCAGCAACGACUCAUAGCCCUAGGAAGCCUGUAAAGAGGAAGAUACUUACGUCGUCUCGAGUCCAAGCUAACUUACCCAGUACGAUCCAGAAAACCUAGGAAACCUGUAGAGGAAGAAAAUAGUCACAUGUGUUGCGAACCGAGAUUCUAAUCACUCGACACGCUUCAAUGACCUAGGAAAAACCUGUGGAGAAAGAGAUACGUACCUCGCUCCGAGUUCACGUCAAAUCCACUCCAUACGACCCAGGCACCUAGAAAGGAGAAGCUAGUUUGAAUCUCGUCCAACGCAAAACUUACCUUGUGUUUACUUUGCCCUCAGGAGAACGAGGAGCGCCACGAGAAGUCCUUCCACGCAGAAGGUGGGCCGAGGACAAAGGAGCUCCGCACGGCCCUUGCCCUGCGAUCCCCUGGCCCCACGGAACCGACUUCUCCCCUCCAACGUCCCUGGCCCCGUAGUGUUCCCCUUGAGAGCGAGAGGAUAUAUUUUAGACUCCCUUCCCCAUUUCCCUUGACUCUUUUAACUAAUUUAAAUAAAGUUUACUAUUUUAUAUUUCACUUAUCUCUCGUUUGCUUGGUCAUUGGGGUGCUUUUGGGACCUCCUCAAGGUGGAACUUGGGAGGAGCGUGACGCACACAGCCUGUGGUCCGCUCCGGCCUGUGACAGCAGGCAAACUACUGAAGGACCAUCUUUCACAGGCAGAAACGUGUGCAGGCAAGUUGCUGAAAGCUGCUGAGAUGAAAGAAGACACUAACAUUCUUGUGCAUAUUCAAGACAAAGACUGCGUCUCUCUGGAGGUGCGAUACCACAAGUCCUGUUACAGACAGUACACCAGGUUCUUGACACUGUUCUUCUGAGGUCUCAGUAACUGUUGCAGUAGACUUUGAGUUAAUAUAUUGCAUUAUCAAAUAAUAAUUACAAAUUAAUUUCAAAGGUAAAACAUUGACAAUCUGCAUAGUCUGUAUAACUUGUCUGUAAACACAGUUUUGACUGCACAACUCAGUAAUUCACAGUAAUUCAAUAUGAUCAAAUGUGUAGUGUUUUGUGAAGGGUGAAUGAACAAGUAAUGUUUUUUUGCCAAUUAUAAUAUUGUAUAUUUAAAAUGGAAUGCAGAGUGAAAUAGUUAUGGCACAAAGUAAUAUAAUAUAUAAUCUUUUCUGUGUUUUCUUUUCAGAAAUGAGCCAACCUUCGAUGUCAGCUACAAGAUCUUCUGUGAGAGGAUCAUCCGUCAUAGAAUAAUUGUAAACCAAAAGGUGCUGACAAUGAUGCAGCUAAGAAGGAUCUUUUUAAAUCUUGUGAAAAAACAUGAGGAUCUUGAUGCUUCAAACUACAGGCAGGAUAAAUUGAAGAGGAGGUUGAGUCGUUAUUUCCCCCAGCUGGUGUUUCACUCACCCAACAAGCGGAACAUAAGUGAGCUGUUUUUUGUUGAGACACUGUCCGCAGAUAAGCUGAUUGACAGGCUUCCUCAUCCAUCAGGUACAGAAACAAUAGAGUAAACUGAAAGUGACGGUGAAAACACGUUACGUAAAACAGCUGGUCCUCAAAGACAAACCUCAGUGGGCUCUAUUAAUACUACAGAGGACACAAGGACACUUUAUAAUGCAGCAUUAAUAUUAAAGAUGCUUCUAUGUGACUCUCCCGGUAUGACAUGUCCAUGGCCACCUACGUCAGAUGAUUUAAAUGUGAGUGAAGCAAAAUCUGUUGUGCCACUCGAACUGUACAAUCUAAUUUCCUGGAUUAUUAGGCCAAACAGGGGCACCAACACUGGCCCAUUAUGUUGAUAUUACAGAUGAUACAUUGUGUAUCUUGCAUCUAAGGGCCGGAGGCAGACACCCAAAUCAUUGUGUCUUGGUCUAACCAUUCGCCAUUUAACAGGUUCAUCACAGAUUGUGUCACUUCUAAAUAGACUAGGACAUUGUGCAUCAUGGGACACAGUUGUUAGUCUAGACAGUUGCCUUGCCCAACUUCAACUGGUAAAGGGCAGAGACAAAAUACCAAAGGCGUUUUCAAAGAAGGUUCCUACAAUACUUGUGUGGGACAAUAUUGACUUUGGGGAGGAGACAUUAUCAGGUCGUGGAACUACUCACCACACAAAUGGGAUUAUGCUGCAAAGUUCUGUAGUUCAACAUGUGACAACAACAAACAGACAACCACUAGAAGGGAGUUUCCUCAUUCAAAGCACCCCUUGUCUCCCUAUCGAACAGUACCAUCAGUCUAAAAAGCAAGGACCACAUAACUUGUUUCAUAAUAAAAAUGUUCCAUUACAGGUAGACACAUACAAGUUGAACACAAUGUCUGCUGCACAAAGUGAACUGGCAUAUCGUCGCUGCCUGAUGAAACUCACGUAUGUCCAAAACGGUUACUUUUCAGGAAGUGAAAAAACACUGUAUAUCAAAAGCAGUUGAAUGUAGCGUUGUCAUACUUGGUACGGCAUCUUUACAUGUAACCAUAUUCUUGCCAGUGUAAUGUUAUAAUUCACAUUUGACCAAAAUUGAGUUUAAAUGGACAUAUGUGCAUAUUUUACAGUAAUGGUGGUCGAUAUGCGUUCUUCCGAUCAUUAAUUAGAAUGGCCAAGUCGCGUUUUAUAUUGACAUAUGAAUACGCUCAGUUUAUAGCCUACGCCUUAGUUAAAUACGCUUAUAUUAUUUAAUAUUAAUAAUACAUUUAUUUAAUGUCUCUUGCAAGCUGACAUGGUAAUGCUAGACAGCAGGGGCGUCAGUUUGUGUUGAAAAGUGGUGGGAAAAGAUCAGAUAAAAAACAUUACAGCAGGACGGGAAAAUAUUGAAUAACGGCGCAUCAAAAAUGGGCAUAGCGUUGGCCAGUCAACAACAAGAAAAUACUCAGCCUAAAACUCUUAACAAUGUCGACUGCACACAUGCAACAGUCCCUGCAACACCAGCUCAACCGAACAAUGCCAAAGCACCAUACUGUAAAAACCAGCAGCGCGUUUAGUCAAUGAUUACAAUGAAUUUCAUUACAUAUGUAAAAGAAAACACAUCAUAAGCAGACAAUGCAACAUAUUGACCCUGGACCUCAAAACCAGUCUUAAGCAUCGCUUGGUAUUUCAGAACAUUUUAACCAAAUGCUUUCAAAAAGUGGUGGGAUGUCCCCAGCGUCCCGGUGUAAAUAACACCUAUGCUAGACAGAUACUUUGUUUGCACAGUCCUACCAUAAUUUAGUCACUCCUAGACGUAUGUCUGGCAUCAGGGGGAACGUUUACCUCGAUGAAGGAAAGUCAUUGUGUCACCAGGCUAUGUUUAUUCGGCUAUAUCCAGUGCUGAGCUUUGAUGAAACUUUACGAGACCGGUGAGAUGCUUCACAGAGGCUUUGAUUGACAGCUUUGACAACAAAUGGAAAUACGUGAAAAUCAGAUGACAUGAUUUCACAACUUUUCAUUGGCCAUUUAGGUAUGUGACGCAUACUGUAUAUGGAAAUGAACCUGGACAUUCAAUCAGUCGAAAAAUCGGCAAAAUGGACAUACGUGGUUUUCAUCGGACAGCGACAAUAUGUUUUUUUUAUCCAUAGAUGCUGACAGAUGCACAAUCCCAAGCUGGACAGGUUUCCAUACAUUGCUUCAAGGUGAUGGCACUCUGCAAAAAGUCAGCACUGUAUUAUCUUCCGGUCAUUGAGGCUUCACCAACAGAGAUGUCAACAGUAAACACAAUUCUGAAGCGAAGUGUUUAUAUUGCUGAUCAGCUAGAAUUGGACCAUAUAGUGUUCGUUUUUGACCAAGCUAUAUAUGCUAAAGCUCAGCAAAUCCGCUGGAAAGACAAUGACUUUACUCAGCGUAUAGUGAUUAGACUAGGUGAAUUUCACACAUGUCCUACCUGAGCAUUCUAGGAAAAUGGUUUGGAGAUGCAGGACUGCAGGACAUACUCAUUGGCCCUCAUUUAUCAUUCUUGCGUAUAAACGGGCGUAUAUGUUGGCGUAAGAUUAUGCGUACACUCCUCUCAUCGCCUGAUUCAUGAAACUGUGCCCUUGAUAAAUGCCGCGGCUGAAAACGAUCGUCAUUAGAAUAACACGCCCCUAUAUAUUCAAGUCUCCGCUUCCCCCACGCCCUCAUUUUACGACAUGGAUACACGAAAGACGGCAAAAAAGAGGAAUUUCUCAGAUGUGGAGAUCGAAACCAUCACCAGGGAAGUGGAAAAAACCAAAUUUGUUUUAUUUGGAGGCUUAAAGAGUGGGAUAAAAGGCGCCCAUAUAAACAAAAUAUGGUCCCAAAUUACCACUUCAGUAAAUAGUGUGGGGGUUGAGAAGCGCACUCCAGCAGAGGUAAGAAAUGUUUUAUUGCUUAAUAUACACUGAAAAAAUUAAUUUAUUUUCAAUUUAUUUAGGCUACAUUUAAACAAAAGAAAGGCAAAACAAAAAACUUUUGUUUAAAUGUAGCUUAAAUUGAUUGCAACCACUUACCUUUAAAAAAAAUGGAUUAAAUUGAAUGCAUAAUUUUUUCCUAGAUCAAAAGUGAUCAAGUUAAUGCUCUUGUUUAUUGUAGGUAAAAAAAAGUGGUCCGAUCUAAAGAUGGCCACAAAGAGGCGCGUCUCCGCAUUGAAGAGAAGCCAGAGUCAGACUGGGGGAGGACCACCGGAUCCAAGCCUCCAGCUGACACCGCACGAGGAGCGUGUGGCAGCACUCAUCGGAACGGCGUCUUUAGAAGGCAUCAGUGGUGGGGGAGAUACCGACGACAUUCAUGAUGAGGACACUGCAGGUCCCAGCGCGUUCGAAGCAUCUCCCACUCAGCCCAUCCAGGAGCCUGAACCGAUCCUUGCGCCGCACCCAGAGCCUGAGCAGCAGGUCCAAGCGAGGGAAGCCGAGGCUCGUCCACCAGCCUCCCGUGCGCCACGGCCAAGGGUCCUGACGGAUGAGACUUCUCUUAGCAGCCCUACAUUACAAUAGUAAUGGCAACAGAGAUGUAGCUCGAACCAGUGAGGGUGAGGCACGCUACGCUGUUCGCUACCCGCGGUUUCUUAAAGGUGGCUGGGUAGUCCAAUCCCAUCAAGGAGAAACCAUCUUACGGAUAUGCAACAAAUCUUAUGGUCUCUCUGGUAGAGGAAUUCUGCAAGUCACCACAGGCCUUACAAGAAAGCAGUGCUGUCUUGUCCUCUGCUGCAACCCCCCCCCCUCCCCCUCACCUCUUCCCUCCAGAUGGUUGCUAAGGAUGAGGCAGUCAGCCUCCAUCUCGCACGACACUCACGUUUCAACAUAUAAUAAAAGAAAAUUUUUAACAGUACAGUUUGUUUCAAUGUAUUUAUUAAUCAUCUUCCAAGUGUGGCCACUGAAAACCUUUGUAUGUUUGUCCCUCCUCUGCAAACUGCCUCCUUAUAGCUGACACAACACAUGAAGGUAUGGCUUUCCUAAUGUUUCCUGCCUAGUAUUCCGUACGACCAGCGGACAACCUGCCGGUAUGCUGUGUAUCGGAACUGCCUGUGGUGGAGAUUGGGAAAUAAUUGCAUUUUGAUCAUGCCAUGUUUUCAUAGUAAACAAUUCCAAUUGUAAAUAUUGCAUGUUCUGUUGGCUGAUAUUCUACUGUACUACACAACACCAAAGUUGUUUUUAUAGUAAGUAUAUGGAAAGUAUAAAAACCUGCUUAACAGGAUUUACUAUUUUGGUGCUCUUGUCUGCUGGCUUGGAGAGGGCCAUGCUCCUGUCUGAAGUCCAUGUAUGCUAUCUGCAGCACAAAAGGAUUCAGACAGGAUGCUUCAAAUCCUGGAUGGAGUGUGAGGCAGGUAAUGUCUUCUGGGGAUCUAAGUUUUGGACACGGGACCAAUAGGCAUCGACCUCCCUGCAGCACACACUCUCCACUGCUGAUGGCAUAGCCUCACAUCUACCACACAAGCACCUGUUAAACAAAUGUGCUAAGAUAAACUCACUCUCCUUCCUUCCUUGUAGCUCUAGUGGUUUGUGUAAGACCUUGUAAGAAACGACAUGAAGUACUUACUUCCUAAAACUUAGGUAAAUAUGUACUGUAAAAAUACACACCCCCUGCAGAGUACAGGCUGUCAAUUAAAUGCAUGCCUUACAACCAGUUUUCCUCCACGUGACAAUAAAAGAUCCUUGUAACAAUAACUGUAUUUACAUGAACGGCAUAUUCCCGUCCUAACCGGAACAGUAACUGCUUUUAUUCGUAUACUCCGCAGUACAUGUGAGCUCAUUUACAUAAUGUCCGUCGAAAAGAGGAAACGUAACUCUAAUUAUUUUAAGACACAUGUUGAUGGCAUACAUGGUGACAAUCUACAUGGAUGCUUGAAAAACAACAAAGUCGACAGCAAUAUUGCUAAAAAUGAUUUAUUAAAGAUACUGCAAUGUUAUAAACAUGGAGACAACAUCAGCCACAAUUAGCUAUAGCCUGUGGUCACUCACCAAGACACCUGCCCAAUUCUCCAACGAUUUUCCUCACACCACAAGUCUAUCUCUCUCCUCUGUCCAUUUACCCUUCCCCUUAACCCUGCCUGACCCCUCUCUCACCUAGGGGGCUCGAAAUUAUAGGGUAAUGGACCAUCGUAAGAGUUUACAUUUACCCCUACUGCAACCUCUUCACUGUCUGACUCCAUUACGAAGAGAUGAUAUUUACCUGCCAUUGCGUCACUUCCGAUCAGACUGUUUUUCACAGCGGAAGUAAUUUUACUCACAAUUUCUUUUAAAAAACGUUUUAAAUACACAAUUAUGAUUAAUUUCUUCACGCAAAUCGAGUUCCUACACUAUUUAUCUACACGUUUAUUCACAGUGACCUUCAACUUGAAAGAUGGGCUUUACUCAGUCCAGACACAGAUAUUUUUAUCUCAGAUGAAGAUCAGUAUGAGUAAGUGAUUUGAUGUUGUUAUACAUGUAUUUGUACUGUAAGUGCAUUGAAUGACGAAGUAACAUUUUGUUUUAUUUUUUGCUUUCAGUGUUGACCUCAAAUCAUUGUUGAAUAAAAUGUCCAAGAAAGUGGAUUUUACGGAUGCAGUCAUUUCCAACCAAAUUAAUGCAACACGAUGCAACAUCCUGGACAGUGGUAUCAGAGCCUUCCGACCCCAUGUUUUAACCCUGAGGCAAAACUAGACGUUGUGUUCAGUGGUGCUGAUGGGAUUGGUGAGGGAGCGGCUGAUGAUGGUGGACCAACUAGAGAAUUUUUUACUUUGCUGAUGAGGGAAAUCCACUCAUGUGAAAUAUUUGAUGGAGAGGACUGGAAAAAACACUUGCCUGCAAUUCCAAGGGUAACCUGGCCUGCUGUCUAAUGUAAAAAGUGUUUGCCUCAUUCAUAAUUUUUACACUUUUACAUUUAAUGUCAUCAGGUCUUUAAACAAAGCAUCUUUAAUUAUUAAAGUUAACACCUAGUCCCCUAUGAAAAACGUGAAUAAUUUGUCAGGAAUUCAAUGCCUGUCUACACUCCAUUAGCAGCACACAUUUUCUAAGCAUUGUUUAUAGACAUAAUAAUGCUUUUCCCAUGUGCUACAGCACUGUACAAUGGAAUGUACAAACUAAUUGGACAGAUGAUAGCUGUGUGCCUGGUACAUGGUGAUGUGGAGCCACUUUUUUUUUUCAGAAAGACUGUUCUGUCAGGUGUCCAACCUUCAGCCCCCAGUACCAGAUUUUUAAGAGAUUGUGGACUAUGACUUUAGAGCAAAGAUGACCAAGGUUAGUUUAUGUAUUGCACAUUUUCAUUAAUGCCAGCUGUUGCUUUGUUACUAAUGGUAAUUUGGCAAUAGUUGUAAUAUCUUAGAAUGUUAAAAAUGAUAACCAAAGGGACACUCCACUUUCUUUAGACAAUAGGCUAAUUUUCCAGCUCCCCUAGAGUUAAAUAUUUGAGUUUUACAGUUUUGAAAUCCAUUCAGCCCAUCUCCAGGUCUGGUGCUAGCACUUUAGGCAUAGCUUAGCACAAUCCAUUGGAUCUGAUUAGACCAUUAGCAUCACACUCAAAAGUGACCAAAGAGUUUAGAUAUUUAUCCUAUUUAAA